rnacentral:rRNA from 1 species
GCGGCGACGCCGAGCGGAACCCGAAAGCCGUUCUCAGUUCAGAUCGGAGUCUGCAACCCGACUCCGUGAAGCUGGAUUCGCUAGUAAUCGCGCGUCAGCCAUGGCGCGGUGAAUACGUUCCCGGGCCUUGUACACACCGCCCGUCAAGCCAUGGGAGCCGGGGGUGCUUGAAGUGCGUCGCCGCGAGGCGCGCCCUAGAGCAAAACCGGUGACUGGGGCUAAGUCGUAACAAGGUACC